rnacentral:rRNA from 1 species
AGCGAACGUUAGCGGCAGGCCUAACACAUGCAAGUCGCACGAGAAUUGGGGCUUCGGCUCCAUAGUAAAGUGGCGGACGGGUGCGUAACACGUGGAUAAUCUGCCCUCUGGCGGGGGACAACAGUCCGAAAGGAUUGCUAAUACCGCAUAAGUCAACAGGGUCUUCGGACCUUGUUGGGAAAGGUGGCCUCUCUAUAGACGCUACCACCGGAGGAUGAGUCCGCGGCCCAUCAGCUAGUUGGCGGGGUAAUGGCCCACCAAGGCAAAGACGGGUAGCUGGUCUGAGAGGAUGAUCAGCCACACUGGAACUGAGACACGGUCCAGACUUCUACGGAAGGCAGCAGUGGGGAAUAUUGGGCAAUGGGCGCAAGCCUGACCCAGCCAUGCCGCGUGAGUGAUGAAGGCCUUC